GGAUUUGUUUAAAUAUUUAAGUAGUUGUCGACACAACAUAUGUAAGUAUACAUACAUACAUAUGUUCAAAGUUAUGACAUUGCGCACUUACCUGCAGUCACGUGCCCUUCCUACAUAUAUAGUAUGUAUAUAAGAAUAUCAACUUAGAAAAAUUUGGAAAAAGGAAGCGAAAAUGCGAACAGCUGUUCCAUUUAUGGUCACACCUGCCUGUCAUGAUAUUAAGAUGCCUAUGGAAUCAACGAUUUUACAUGCUUCAAAUGCAUAAAAGACAUACAUAUGUACAUUUAGUAUAUACGUUUGUACCUCUUUUAACUCUGUAAGUAAGUAGUAUAAUAUAUGCAAGUAAAAUAGUACUUUGCAACUUCGCUUGAGUUUUCCUGAAUUUUUAAUGCAUUUAUUCAAAUUGCCUUUUGGGUAGUUUUAAAAUAAAUUUACAACAUUUUUUAUUACUAAAUGCACUUGCUUUUUAUGCAUAAUUAUUUAAUACAAACAUAUAUAAACAAAAAUAUUAGGUUUAUAGGUUCAAAGAAUAUUUUAUAUUAUAAUUGUUUUAUUUUUUUUUUGUAACAUAACCUAAUUCAACUAAUUUUAAUUUUAGAAGAAUAUUUAUAAAAUUUUGCGUUACAAUAAAAAUUAAAACUAUAUUAAUAUAGUUUUAUACCGUCUAAUAAUUAUUAUUUUUAAUAACACACACGUGAUUUGUUCCAAAAAGUGAUUCUCGUAAUUGUAAUUGCUGCUUAGAAACCUUGAAUUUGUAAAAAAAAUGUGUUUUCGCUAUAAAUGCAAUACGAAAUAGGUGAUUUUGUAUUUAUUUUGUUAUUCAAGUUUUAACUUGUUUGGAAAUAUUAGUUAAAUUGCACAAAAAUUAUUGCUUCUUAAAUAUACUUACAAUUCUACAAUAACACUAGUUAUGGUUAUUCCCACUUUUUUUCGAUAUAGUUAAUACACUUUAAAUGCCGCUAAGUUCUUUAAUGACUAAGUCUAAUAAAUUGCUUUGUCUUACUUGUUACUUUAAGUAAAUUGUCUUAAUUCUCUAAGUUUGUGAAAAUUUUAUUUUGUGAAAUUUUUAUUUUAAAACAAUUUUAACCAUACUUUCAGAUAUACAAUUAAAUGAAAAUGAUUAUUAAAAAAAUAUUAAACAUUAAUUACACAUAGUUUACACAAAAAAUUAAGAAACGUCAUAAGGGGUUAGGUGUAGUCAGAAUUUUCAAAAAACCCAUUUUUCAUUUUCUUAAAGUAUGUCUUAGAAAUAUUCUAUGAAGAUUUUUUCAGUAAAUCCUACAAAAACUUUUCGAGUUAUUCAAUAAUUAGGAAAUGGCUCUUGGGCGCUCUGGAACGUACAUAUGUAAGUGUAAAACUUUAAAUGCGUUUUUUACCAAACUAUGUUUUUUUGAAAUGGUGACUAUUGUAGCUCGAAAAUAACUCCGUAGAUUUUAAUGAAAUUUAUACAGCUUUUGAAAACAUGAAAAAGUUGUGUUCUGAUCGAAGAAUUCUUUUAAUGUCGGUUUUUUAUAUAGCUUUUGUUUUUCCCGAAGAUCUGGAAAAAAAUUCCUCAGGCCACCAUUUUGUUAAUAAAAAAAAACAUUAAAAAAAUUAUUUAAAAAAAGUUUCAAUCAGGGCACCAGAGUAUCUAUUAAUAGUACAAAUUCUUUUUUCCUAUUGAUUUUAAAUGACUAUCCAAAGAUUAGUGAUGGUUACCGCAAAGAAAUUCCGUUGGAAUGGGAUCAACAAAAACAUAUAUGAUAUUUAUAUUUUUUUUUAAUUUCUGUUAAGUUGUUAAGUAAAGUCGAAACUUCAUUUAAUGAUGCUAUGUUGUUAGUUUUAUAAAAUAAACUAAUUUUCUCGCAAAAAAGAAAAUUGUUCAAAUUGUAAUUUUUUCAUGUAUCUGAGUACACCUAACCCUAAGUAAAAAUGUUUACAAAAGCUCAUCUGCUUUUAUUAAAUUGACUCUUAAUCUGGACAACUUAAUUUCUGUAAUAAAAUGACAUUUUAUGUAUUUUUCCAAGAAUUCGCUUGAAUGAAUGAAUGUAAUUUCCAUGAAUUCGAGAAUGAGAUAAACGUCAAUGAUUAUAAUAACUGCCUUAAAUAAAAUGGUAUCUGCUGUCGUUGGCAAAUAAGUAAUUUUUCAAAUAAAUACAAAAAAAAUAUCCGCCGUAUGGUUCUACAACAUAUUUUACGCGCAUCUCUUCUUCAGACAUAUAUAUGUAUUUUCUUAUGUAUAAAUAGUUUGCAUAGAAAAGAAAUCCUUGUGUAGCAUUUUAGCCAGCUUGGAGGUUUUAUAAGUGUACGCAUAGCACAGCAUAAAAUAAAAUAGUUCGAAACAAUAAUGAAAUAUCUUACGGACACCCAAAUUACUAGGCACAUUUCCUAUUUUAAAUAUCAUCUAGGCCACUUAUCCUUUUUAGUGCAUAAUCCGGCACAUUUACAUAUGUACAUAGUACAUGCAUUUUACUAUUUGUCCUUGUAUCUUAAAAUCUAGUCACCCAACAAUGACGUUUGCAAAUUUUGCGCGGAAAUAAUACAUACCUACAAUACCAAUGCAUUCGCUCAGCUAUGUUCGCACAUACCAUAGUAGUGCAUUCUACCUAGCGGGCAGUUUACCUGAAUUUAAAACAGAGUUAAACGUGACCCAGUGAGGCAUGUAAGUGUUUGGAUACAGGGUGUGGAAGUUGCAAAAUUAAUUAGGCAUAUAUAUAUUGUAUAUGUAUUAAUAAAGUAGUAAUUUUUUUAAUAAUGAUAAUAAUAAUAAUAAAUAUUAUAAAUAGAGGUUUUUUAAGUUUUAAGACUUAAUGUUAAGCUUGAAGUUGCGAAUUUUUUGAUUAAAAAAUUUUGAUAUUAAUCCGAUUUUUGGUAUUAAAGUUUUUUUAUUUUUUCAUUCUGGUGUUUGGGACUAAAUAUUUAAAAAAGAUUUUCGGGAUUGCGAAAGGAAAAAACUUAAUUGAAUUUACAUUCGAAUUCAUUUUUUUAGGGCAUUAUUUGCAAACCUGGUUAGGCAUUAUUAAAAAAAAACUUUUAUAAAAGCAAAUUCUAUAUGUGAGUCCAAUACUGCUUAUUAAUAAACAGCUGAUUGUCAAAAAAGUAAACAAACACAAAUUGGUGAAUUAUCUCAAAUAAAUAUUCGCAAAAGCUUUUCUUCUGUAUAAAUUGAUUUAAAUAAGUAUCUUGUUCGAAACUAAAUGAACUAAGACAAUUUAAAACUUUUAAAUUUAGCAAUUGCUUUGCUACGUUCAUCAGUGUAAGGAACAUUUGAAUUAUUUUUUAUUUAUUUUGUAAUUCCGACAAUCUUAAUUAAAAUAAUGUUUAAACUUUUAACCUCGAUUUCCGGAUUAAAAAAAUUCAACCGGAAUAAAAAUUAAUAUUUAGUCCCACAUACCGGAUUGGAAAAGAGUUAAUCCCUAGCUUAUAAUUAAAAAUUAAAAAAAAAAAUUAUUUGUUAUUAUUGCGUAGUUAGUAUUCCAUCAUUUUGCUGUUAUUAAACGGAAAGCUUAUUUUGAAUAAAAAUUUAAUAUAGUUUAGUUUGUUUUAUUUAUAUUUAAUUAUUUUUAAUUAUAGUGUUUCAGUUAAAAAUUGGUAAGUAUUUCCUUUUUAUCACUUUUCAUUCCAGCUUUUAAUUAGAAAAAAUAAUUUUUUAAUUUGUUACUCCAAUUUGUAGUUAUAAAAUAUUUUCUUAAUUUUAAUCUAAGAUGUUUUUAUUAUUAAAUAAAAAAAAAAAUUUUUUUUUUUCAAACGUCUUAGAAAACCGAAUUAAAAGAUAAGAUAUUUAAUUGUUAAUUCUGGUUUUAGGAGCAUUUUUAAUUGGUAUUAAUUAAAUUUUAAAAUUUUAUCCUUGUCAAAAAUCAGAAUUUAAUAUCUAACACAAAAUUUUUGAAUAGAAACUUUAUUACUCUUGUAACUCUGGUUGUAUGUAGCAACGUUAAGAAAUUUUUUUGCCAAUUCACAAAAAUGAAUCAUUACUCAACAAAUAUAUGAUAUUACAUAAAAUUGUAAUACCAAAUGCUAAGAAAUAAUUUUCUUGCAAAUAUUUCAAAAUUAAUUUUCAUUCUUUUUGGUUAAAAGAUAAAUAAUUGUUUAAUUUGCUUGGCAACAGUGUAAAUAAAGUUGACAGAUCAGCUUGUUUGACGUUUCUCAACAUUUGAAUGUGAUUUAAAACAAAUAGAAGUAACUAGAAAUUAUUUUGCAUAUUUAAACAGAAAGUUGUGCAAAUGUUGGUCACAAAUGCGUUGCUUAUAUUUAAUUUUACCGUGUAGAAUUGCAACAUAUUAAUCUCACUCUAUAACACCUACAAGUAUGCCACAGCCCUCAGCGUAUGUUUUUCAAUUUUGCGUAACGCGCAAUUCGAUGCGUUUCUUAAGCGAUUCGAAUGUCUGCUGCAUGUUGCGCAUUUGAAAGCGUAUCGAUGUGGUGACGUCACGUUGCAACUGAUGCACCUCACGUAUAUUUUGUACCAGAUGAUGAUAUUCCGCCUUGACCUCCUCCAUGGACUCGAGCAGUUCCAUGACACAAACGCCAUCAACAUCAUCCAGGCUGCUAGUGUGAUCCAAUGUCGUUUCGACUUCGUGCAAUUUGUGUGCCACCGUAUAGAGUUGGGUGCCUGCGUGCGCGACCUUUGUGUAUUUUAUUGUAAGUACGUGCGACAUGGAAGAGAGUAAGCAGAAGAGCAUGAGUAAAGCAAUAUAAUGUUGUGUACAUACAUGUAUAUAUGUAUGUAUGUAGCUAUGCAGUAAUUUAAGCAGCAACAAUGACGACAUUAAAUAUUU